AACCAUGGCAAACACGCGAUACCAGGAGCGCUUCGCCAUGUACGCGUGACAUCAUGUCGACGUCUGUGCGUGACACAUCGUCCGUCCGUGGCCACGUCGAAAGUGACGGUGCACCCCUCGGCGCGUCGAGGAGUGUCAACGGAACGAGACCCCGAUCUACCGGUCCACGACAACGCGGAUGCAGGAUCGCAUAGACCGCGUUCUCGCGAUAUCGCGACUCCAUGGAUCGAUCACGCGCGAAAGACUCGCCGUGAUCUGGGAAUGUCCCGUCGCGGAUAAUCGUCGAUCAUCGAGCGACGUUGCUGCCGGGAUGGACGAAAUCCUGGAGGAAGGAUUCAACUGAUACGCGUCUAAGCCGGAGAUCCUGGAAAACUGUGCGACCGGCCAAAGGGCCGGCUAGAAACAGUACCUCUUCUUACUCAAGCAAAGAGGAUCAAGAAACCUUAUCGUACUUGCCGACGAAGAAAAAGAAUUAGAGGAGAGAGAAGGCGACGAGGUGGAAGAAAGAGAGAAAAGGGAAAUAGAGGAGAGCAGGGGACCCCUAAACCUAGCCUAGGGAAGAUAAGUAACCUGGAGAUGGGCGUAGGCAGAAAGAUGGAAUCCCGGGCGAGACACUCGAAGAUCUCGUGAUUGGUGUCAGCGCCUGGCUGAGGGGAUCAAGGUCGAUCACGGAGAUCGACCGUGAUGGAGGCGAGAGCGAAUGACUCGUUCGUCAAGUCGAUCCUACGAAACCUCUCGCUGAUCCGCGAGCAUCGGCACCCGGACGAGCCGCCUGGAAGAGAGGUGGCCACAAACGCUAUCGAUGUUGUCACCACGACCGUGCAGGAGGAGAAGAUGGCGGACUUUCUGGGCGAUGCCUUCGCGAGGAAUGACAGCGACGUCGAGGGCGGCGAGUCCGGUUGGUUCAACGACUCGACGACCGCCGCCGUCUCGACCCUGUCCGCCUCCUCGUCCUACGCGGACUCCACGUCGUCGUAUUCCACCACGAGUGUCGACAACUACACCGGCAGCGUGUCCGACCUUUUCGCCUUCGACGACCUGAGCGACUACAUCAACCGACUGAACUACAGCGUCCUCGUGAACCUGACGGCCUACUACGACGACGGCGCGGGUCUGAAUUUCAGCAGCGUCAAUUGCACGUCGUCGAUAGUCGCCGGGGGUGCCGUUAGGCCGGGCGAGUGCGCUGGAACCGCCGGCGUCGACGAGAAGUCUAACGCGAACAGCUGGUGGGCCCUAAUACUCGUGAUCGUGCCGUGUUUGACGCUCUUCGGUAACGUGCUCGUCAUCCUAGCGGUGGUGAAGGAACGUGCGCUGCAGACUGUCACUAACUACUUCAUCGUCAGUUUGGCGGUCGCCGAUCUUCUCGUCGCGGUGCUCGUUAUGCCGUUCGCGGUCUACGUGCUGGUGAACGGAUCUUGGAGCUUACCUGGGUUUGUUUGUGAUUUUUAUAUCGCAAUGGAUGUGACUUGCAGCACCAGCUCUAUAUUCAAUCUCGUGGCUAUUUCGAUAGACAGAUACAUAGCGGUGACCCAGCCGAUAAAGUACGCGAAGCACAAGAACAAUAGAAGAGUAUGGUUGACGAUACUGUUGGUCUGGGCGAUAUCGGCCGCGAUCGGUAGCCCGAUUGUCCUUGGUCUGAAUAACACUCCGGACCGGAUACCGGACCAAUGUCUGUUCUACAAUACGGAUUUUAUCAUCUACUCGAGCCUGUCCAGCUUCUACAUACCCUGCAUCAUCAUGGUAUUUCUUUACUACAAUAUAUUCAAGGCUCUGCGAAACAGAGCGAAAAGGGCUCGUGCUAGCAAAAAACCGAAUUUAAGCAAUAUAAAACCGGGGAGCAUCAUCGAAAAUAUCGCGCACACGCGUAGUGGGUAUUCUGUGGCAAGGUUCGCGGAAACGGCGCUGGGGGCGGCCGCCCUGGUGGCACCUGGGAUCGAGGAACCGACGAACACCGCUUCCGGCAGCAACGAGGACGAGGAUGAGACGCCCCUCGAUCCCGUCGUCGUCAUCUCCAAUGACAAGAGCACGGAAUUCUUUUUAGCCACGGUCGUCGAGGAAGCAGCUUGUCGUUUCAGCGCGGUGGCACAGGCCCAGCUGACCGGAGCACCACACGUGCAGCGGCAAGACUCCAGCGGAUACGACGUCGCGGCGAGCAGCACGAUGAUCCACGAGCCGCUCGAGACGAAUUCGAGUCCGAGCCCGAAUCCGCGGGUCACGUCGGGCCCGCCGUCCUCGUCGACUUCGUCGUCGCCCCCGCCAACGCGAGGCGCAACCAGCGUGUCCUCGGCCACGCAGACGAAGAGGAACGGUAACAACGGCGGCGCGAACAAGCAGGAGCUGAAGCGACUGAAGAGCGCCGGCUCGCUGCUGCCGCUGCAGCUCGCGAGAACACCCAGCGUGCUGUCGUCCACCUGCAAGAAGGACCGGAAGAACGCGUCGGCCGGGUCAAGGUUCACGAUAUACAAGGCCAACAAGGCUAGUAAAAAGAAGAGAGAAAAGAGCUCAGCCAAGAAGGAGCGCAAGGCCACGAAGACUCUGGCGAUCGUGUUAGGUGUCUUUCUAAUAUGCUGGGUGCCCUUCUUCACUUGCAACAUCAUGGACGCAAUUUGCACGAAGCUGACAGGGGCUUGUCAACCUGGUGUUACAGCCUUCAUCGUCACUUCCUGGUUGGGCUACAUGAAUAGUUUCGUGAAUCCCGUAAUAUACACUGUGUUCAACCCCGAAUUCCGUAAGGCCUUCCGCAAGCUGAUCAGCGUAUAAGCGAGCGAUUUACCUGCUUCCAUCGCUGAAGAAGAGAUACAGGACAGCAAACGUAAUUCGGUGUGAAUCGUCGUAUUUGUGAUGUAACAACAAGACUGUAGGCUCUCGGCAAACUUGCAACAGGUGAUCAAUGCGGCUGUGUAUACUCCUCAAGACUUUUCCGUCGAGCUGCGAGACGAUGCGGAUCAACGAUCCACGCUGUACUUUCAUCAAAAUCAACCGUGGAGCAUCGUUUAACAGGACUGCGACUGCUUGGACGAAAGAGAGUGAAAGUUUCUCUGAAGUACUUAAUUAAUUUUUCUCGUUUAGUACCGUUUAACAACCUAGUUAACGAUCUCACUAAGAAAGAAUAUACGUUUAUCAUUUUUUAUACGAGUUAUGGCACGAGACGUUAUCGCGUUUCUUGAUGAUAAUAUGUAAACGUUUUAUAUUUCAGAUAUAUUCGAUAUUGUCGUGAUUUAUAGAUAUGCAUUAAUACCUAAAUCUUAAUAAUAUUUAGUAACAACUUUGAAUUUUAAAAGGUUAUAAUACAAUACACAUUACGGCGUCUUGAUGCAAAAGAGUUAUACUGUAAGUAUAUUUUCACGUUUUAUUUGUUUAAUAUCCGUGGGAGUCUAUAUUAGAACAACAGGAAUUAAAACCAGUACGAUCUCCCAAGACUUUACAUUUAUAUAUUUAUGCGUAACAAAAUAGAAAUUCGCAGAUUUAGCAUAAAAUACAUUUCUCCAUUUCUAUUGCGUGAGAAAUUAAACUCGUCGAUUUCAAUUUGGGAGAAAAGGACAAACAUAUCCGCACGUCGGGCCUUUACGACGCGAGGGAGACGCGCGCAGAAACGCAGAAUACGAUCUAUGUUCUGUGUUUGAUUAAUCCAUGUAGAGGUUCAUGACUUUCCUCGCAAUCGCGAAGUUCAGGUUUCAACUAAUAUUUGAUCGACGUAAUGUGAGCAUCUCAAAUCACGUUCACGUCGAAAUGCAAUGGUUUCAUCGGAUUUCAAAUAUAAGCGAAGUGAUUAGCGCAUAUCUGGAGGGAGCAUGUAUAAUAUAAUUGAUCAAUUUGGAUGAUGUUUAAAAGUGAUUUGUUUAUAAAGCGAAUAAUGACAUUAAAUAAUAUACAAUUAUAAACUUAUGAUAAACUCGCGCACAGAGAGAGGGAGAGAGAAAUAGAGAAAUAGAGAGAGAGAAAGAUUAAUCUGAUGGGAGGAGUAUUAUGUAAUUCGUUAAUAUUAAAUUGUUAAAGAUAUAAUAUUAGAUCAUCAAGAGAUGCGGCAGCGUCUCGAUGCCAGGUGCAUAAAAUCAAUCAACCGAACGUGACUGUGUUCAUUGCAUGAAUAUCGAGCGCUACCAUUACCUUUUUAUCGGGGAAGUUUUACGUCAAGCAUGCUUUCGAUUACAUUUCUUCGAAAGUUUCAUGAUAAAAAAAAAUCUAACGACGCUUUUCUUGCAUGACGUCUAAGUAAGCUCCUGAUUGCAGUCGCUCCGAACAAAAUUGGCGCUGUCAAUUCGGAAAUCUCGAGAUCUAUGCUAAGAGCGAUAAUUUCGCUUCUGCAGUUUCGCGUGUGCAUCGUAAGCGACUUUUAUCCCUCCAGCCAGCAUUCGCAAGCUCACGGUUUGAAAUGUGUUCAGAUUUAAGAAAUUUGUCGUGUUUGGAAUUAAAGUAGAAGAAACUUUGUAGAUAAUUUUACUUUUCGAAAAGAAUGAUCGACUAAUUGGUUAAUUUUGUCUAAAUUUACUUCUGCUUCUGGAAAUCGCUAACAAUUAAGACCGUGCAAAUUUCUUACUUAAAGUAUUACUUUUAUCUCAAGGUCUUUUUUUUUAGUCCAGAUGUAAGUUUUUGCACGAUCCGGAAGCGUUGCGAGCAAAUCAUGAUAUCUCGUUCGUUUCGAUGUAUGUCACGCGCGUCCGCGUUGUUGCAAUAACGUCUACAAUCAAAGCUUUUUACUGGGUUUUUUGAAUGCUGUACGACGUAGCUUUUAAGCCUCCGAUGUAUAUUUGUAAAUAUUCUAGACGAAUGGUACUGUCAAUCCUAUGUAUAUCGUUACGUACAGCUUCGUGUUACAUGUGGCGCGGUUUACGACGUCGAUCCGAUCGAGUUGUUUUAGAUAAAACGCAGUUCGCGUACGUUUCAUCCGCGUGAAACUUGGUGCGGUCACUUGCGAUAAAUGGACACGUGUGCUCCGAGCUUGACAAACGUCCAGCCGCAGAAUCGAACGACGUUUGUCGUCAUCGGCGAGCUCUUCGCAUGAUGCUUUUUUGCAAAACGCGAAAAAUUGCUUCGUUAGUUUAAUUCUACGCGUCAUUGUGUCAAAUGUUUCGCAACUCCGGGAUAAUCACGCAACACGGCUUCCCUCUUAAUACGCUAAUAACGCUCUCCGUUUCGGUGUUUUGUAUAAUCGGUAUGUUUGCCCUGUUUAAAAUAAUAUGCAAACUAAUGAAGAUUAAUGGUAAAUUUGUAAAGUCUUCCUGCGAAAAAACGUUACGAAGACGAAAAUUGUCGCAAGCGGAACCUCUUAAAAAUCUCGCGAAUUCUGUUUCUUAGAAUUCUGCUGUUGCCAGUUUUCCGUCGACUAUACUUUUAACUUCUUUCUCCGUGAAACACGGCAACAGCAUUUUGGCAAUGCGCAAGACAAUAUCCGCGUUACGAUAACGUUUAAAAGUUUCUCGGGGAGAAACACGAGAACGGCUCCGUCGUGGAAUGAAAUACGGCUUGACGUCGGAAGCGAAGAGAGAGAGACGCCGCGGACUUAAAGCCGCGGCUUUCAAUUCGGGGAUAUAAAUCUUUUAAUUUAUGUAAACCCCCCCCUCUUUUCGAAAGAUAUAAAACCUACUUAAGUCGCUUCGGUCACAAUGAAUCCGCGCAAGCCGGCUGUGAAGUUUUAAGUCCUUUUCAUAACUCCGUCGGGAAGUUUGUCGACUUUCUCUCUCUCGCUUGUCGACCGAUCGUCAUCUCUCGACUUAUCCCCUGCGGGAAAGCCGCCUCCGUCUCGUCUUCACCUUCCGUAGAUCGCGCCAUGUGCCACUUAACGUCGUUGUUAAAGGGUAAGGAGACUUCCGGACGAAGUCGAUCGCUUCUUAAUUAGCGAAGUUCGCACGCUCUGCUUUCCAUAUCGCUAACGAAGCGCAGAGGACAAGUAUGGCGCAUAUUCCAGCGCGAUCCCCGCGAAAUCCUUGCAUUUCCAUAGUCGAUCUCGAGAGCCAUAUUCUCAUCCCCGUGUUGCGUCUUCGCGUUUAGCACUGUAACUAAGUGGCUGUCUGAUCCCGAAGUCUCAUCCUCAGAGGCCAAUUAAUAAAAUGAAGACGCGUAUCAGGUGGCUACAUUCAGUGCUAAAUGCAUGAUGAAGAUACGGGUCCCACAAUCUGACGAUUUAGAUUAUUUAGAAGAAUAUAUGUAUAAGCGUGAGAUUUAACGGUUCCAGACGAAGAUAUGACGGGUAGCCAAAAAUAUAUUCGUGCGAGGAGAGAAAGAGUGUGAGAGAGAGAUAGAAAGAAAGGGAGAGCCUAGUCUUCUGUUAUAUAGCGUGACACUUCGAAAGAUGUUAGAAAAUUCUUAUAAUCCUGAGUAAAAUGGCUGUAUUUUUCUAACCUGAUACUUUCCCCUCUGUACAUAUAUACGCGACACAUGUAUAUGAUAUGUAUUGAUAGACACAUAACGACACGUGCGUGAAGACGAUGUCACAAUUUGCGGGGGCAAGUUAACGUAGGCACUGUAUAUCUGUGUAAAUAUAUGUCUAAUUGGGGAAGCAUGUUGCGUCUGUUUGUGUACACGUUUGUGUGCGUGAGAGAGUACGACGAAGUUUCCCCUGAUGAUUCCCAAUUGAGUGUAAAUUACUACAGAAACUUCUUGUUUGCGCGAAACGAUCACGUCGGCACGUUGUCUUUCGAGGAUGAAAGUGUUGGAAUGCUAUAACGUUAAAAAAAAGAGAGAGAGAUAUAUAUAUUAUACAUAGUAUAUUAUACGACGUACGCGCGUAUGUUACGCCGAUGCGUGAGAUCGGAUGCUGUGUUUUCCUAUGGAUUUCUUAUUUAUUAUCACCAAUGGUCUAUACAGGGCAUAGGUUUAAGAAAAGAACCUUUAAUUUGCUGAGAUUUAAUCUGCGAGAAAAUAAGAACGUAAAAAAAUAUUUAAAAAAUGCUGUAUGUAUAUUGAAGGCAAUACCUAUACAUACCUAAGAGAGCGUGAAAAAUACGCGAAAACACGUUUCACACGCGACAUGAACAUACAUACACACAAAACAGGACAGUUGUUAAAAGUAAUAAAUUAUAGUAUAAAUUAAAAGUGAUC